rnacentral:rRNA from 16 species
UACCUGGUUGAUCCUGCCAGUAGUCAUAUGCUUGUCUCAAAGAUUAAGCCAUGCAUGUGCAAGUAUGAACCAAUUUGAACUGUGAAACUGUGAAUGGCUCAUAAAACCAGUUAUAGUUUGUUCAAUGUUACGUGCUCCUCGGAUAACCAUAGUAAUUCUAGAGCUAAUACGUGAAACAAACCCCGUCUUCCGGGAGGGGCGCAUUUAUUAGAUAAAAGGCUGAUGCGGGAUCUGCUCGCUGAUCCGAUGAUUCAUGAUAACUCAACGGAUCGCAUGGCCUUUGUGCCGGCGACGCAUCAUUCAAAUUUCUGCCCUAUCAAUUUCGGAGAGGGAGCCUGAGAAACGGCUACCACAAAGGCAGCACGUGUGCAAAUUACCAAUCCUGACAUGGGGCGGUAGUGACAAUAAAUAACAAUAUCGGGCGCAUUGGUGUCUGGUAAUUCGAAUGAGUACUAUCUAAAUCCCUUAACGAGGAUCCACUGGAGGGCAAGUCUGGUGCCAAUAGCCAUGGUAAUGCCAGCUCCAAUAGCGUAUAUUUAAGUUGUUGCAGUUAAAAAGCUUGUAGUUGGAUCUUGGGCUGGGUCGUCCAGUCCGCCUCAUAGCGAGCACCGAGCUACUCGACCCUUUGGCCGACAUUGCGCUCCUUGCCUUAAUUGGCCGGGUCUUAUUUUCGGCGUCGUUAGUUUGAAGAAAUUAGAGUGGUCAAAGCAAGCCAUCGCUCUCGAUACAUUAGCGUGGGAUAACAUCAUAGGAUUCCUUUCCUAUUGUGAUGGCCUUCGGGAUCGGAGUAAUGAGUAAUAGGGACAGUCGGGGGCAUUCGUAUAUCAUAGUCAGAGGUGAAAUUCUUGGAUUUAUGAAGGACGAACAACUGCGAAAGCAUUUUCCUAGGAUGUUUUCAUUAAUGAAGAACGAAAGUUGGGGGCUCGAAGACGAUCAGAUACCGUCCUAGUCUCAACCAUAAACCAUGCCGACUAGGGAUCGGCAGAUGGUGCUUAUAGGACACUGCCGACACCUUAUGAGAAAUCAAAGUCUUUGGGUUCCCGGAGGAGUAUGGUCGCAAGGUUGAAACCUAAACGAAUUGACGGAAGGGCACCACCAAGCGUGGAGCCUGCGGCUUAAUUUGAUUCAACAUGGGGAAACUUACCAGGUCCAAACAUAGCAAGGAUUGACAGACUGAGAGCUCUUUCUUGAUUCUAUGGAUGGGGGUGCAUGGCCGUUCUUAGUUGGUGGAGCGAUUUGUCUGGUUAAUUCCGUUAACGAACGAGACCUCAGCCUGCUAACUAGCUAUGCGGAGCCAUCCCUCUGCAGCUAGCUUCUUAGAGGAACUAUCGCCGUUUAGGCGACGGAAGUUUGAGGCAAUAACAGUUCUGUGAUGCCCUUAGAUGUUCUAGGCCACACGCACGCUACACUGAUUUAUUCAAGAAGUAUAUAGACUUGGCCGAUAGGCCCGGGUAAUCUUGGGAAAUUUCAUUGUGAUGGGGAUAGAUCAAUUUAAUUGUUGGUCUUCAACGAGGAAUGCCUAGUAAGCACGAGUCAUCAGCUUGCGUUGACUACGUCCCUACCCUUUGUACACACCACCCAUCGCUCCUACUGAUUGAAUGGUCCGGUGAAGUGUUCGGAUCACGGUGACGGGGGUGGUUUGCCGCCCCCGACGUCGCGAGAAGUCCAUUGAACCUUAUCAUUUAGAGGAAGGAGAAGUUGUAACAAGGUUUCCGUUGGUGAACCUGUGGAAGGAUCAUUG